GGAGGUAUAAGAAUGCAUUAGAGGUAAAGUUGUCCCAUUGCUGUUUCUGGUUCAUGGCAAGUCUCUACAUCCUUCUGUGAGCUCAUAUGAGAGAGCUUGUAUGUCCAUUGGGGAAUGUCUUUGCCGUAUGUUGUCAUGCAUGCGUGUGUAUAUUUUUAAGCUAGGCUUUUCUAUCGGUUGAUGUUUAAUAGUUCAGUUAAAUUUGUGAUGGCAUGCUGUUCAGGUCAUGAUGAUGGGUUACUUAUUUUAGAUAUCUACUUUGCAAUGCAAAAAAACUAAAAAAUGUUUUCUUAUAGUGUUUAGCUCAUCAUAUAAGUAGAUUUCCCACACUUCUCUAUUUAAUGCACAACAGAAUAUUAAGUGCAUUAGCUAGGAACUUAUUACUUAUGGUAUCAAGUCAUUACCAUACUGAUGUAGAGCAAAUAAAAACAAAGAACAAAAUAAGAACUGAUCCUUAGAAAGGAGAACUAAUACUCAACAAUUUUAUUAAUCUCAAU
rnacentral:misc_RNA from 1 species